rnacentral:rRNA from 1 species
UACGGAGGAUGCGAGCGUUAUCCGGAUUUAUUGGGUUUAAGGGUGCGAGGCGGCUGUUAAGUCAGCGGUCAAAUGCCGGGCUCAACCCCGGCCCGCCGUUGAAACUGGCUGGCUUGAGUUGGGGAAAGGCAGGCGGAAUGCGCGGUGUAGCGGUGAAAUGCAUAGAUAUCGCGCAGAACCCGAUUGCGAAGGCAGCCUGCCGGCCCCACACUGACGCUGAGGCACGAAAGCGUGGGUAGCAACAG